rnacentral:rRNA from 1 species
GUGAAUACGUUCCCGGGCCUUGUACACACCGCCCGUCACACCACGAGAGUUUGUAACACCCGAAGUCGGUGAGGUAACCUUUUGGAGCCAGCCGCCUAAGGUGGGACAGAUGAUUGGGGUGAAGUCGUAACAAGGUAGCCGUAUCGGAAGGUGCGGCUGGAUCACCUCCUUU